UGGAAUGAGUACACUUGCUCCAGGAACCAAG
rnacentral:piRNA from 1 species